rnacentral:rRNA from 1 species
UACGAAGGGUGCAAACGUUGCUCGGAAUCAUUGGGCGUAAAGCGCACGUAGGCGGCCCGAUAAGUCGGAUGUGAAAUCCCUCGGCUCAACCGAGGACGUGCAUUCGAAACUGUCGGGCUCGAGUAUGGAAGAGGGUCGCGGAAUUCCCGGUGUAGAGGUGAAAUUCGUAGAUAUUGGGAAGAACACCGGUGGCGAAGGCGGCGACCUGGUCCUUGACUGACGCUGAGGCGCGAAAGCGUGGGGAGCAAACAGG